rnacentral:rRNA from 1 species
AAAUUGAAGAGUUUGAUCAUGGCUCAGAUUGAACGCUGGCGGCAGGCCUAACACAUGCAAGUCGAGCGGAAACGAGUUAACUGAACCUUCGGGGGACG